rnacentral:rRNA from 1 species
UACAGAGGUCUCAAGCGUUGUUCGGAUUCAUUGGGGGUAAAGGGUGCGUAGGUGGCGCCGUAAGUCGGGUGUGAAAUUUCGGAGCUUAACUCCGAAACUGCAUUCGAUACUGCGGUGCUUGAGGACUGGAGAGGAGACUGGAAUUCAUGGUGUAGCAGUGAAAUGCGUAGAGAUCAUGAGGAAGACCAGUGGCGAAGGCGGGUCUCUGGACAGUUCCUGACACUGAGGCACGAAGGCCAGGGGAGCAAACGGG